AACGUAGGAGGCAAGCGUUAUCCGGAUUUACUGGGCGUAAAGCGUGCGCAGGCGGUUUUGUAAGCCCGAUGUGAAAUCCCCGGGCUUAACCUGGGAAUGGCAUUUGGGACUGCAAGGCUUGAGUUUGGCAGAGGAGACUGGAAUUCCUGGUGUAGCAGUGAAAUGCGUAGAUAUCAGGAGGAAUACCGAUGGCGAAGGCAGGUCUCUGGGCUGAAACUGACGCUCAUGCACGAAAGCGUGGGGAGCAAACAGG
rnacentral:rRNA from 1 species